rnacentral:rRNA from 1 species
CUCGACAACGGAUAUCUCGGCUCUCGCAUCGAUGAAGAACGUAGUGAAAUGCGAUACUUGGUGUGAAUUGCAGAAUCCCGUGAACCAUCGAGUUUUUGAACGCAAGUUGCGCCCGAAGCCUUCUGGCCGAGGGCACGUCUGCCUGGGCGUCACGCAUCGUAGCCC